rnacentral:rRNA from 1 species
GACGAACGCUGGCGGCGUGCUUAACACAUGCAAGUCGAACGGAAAGGCCCUGCUUUUGUGGGGUGCUCGAGUGGCGAACGGGUGAGUAACACGUGAGUAACCUGCCCUUGACUUUGGGAUAACUUCAGGAAACUGGGGCUAAUACCGGAUAGGAGCUCCUGCUGCAUGGUGGGGGUUGGAAAGUUUCGGCGGUUGGGGAUGGACUCGCGGCUUAUCAGCUUGUUGGUGGGGUAGUGGCUUACCAAGGCUUUGACGGGUAGCCGGCCUGAGAGGGUGACCGGCCACAUUGGGACUGAGGUACGGCCCAGACUCCUACGGGAGGCAGCAGUGGGGAAUAUUGCACAAUGGGCGGAAGCCUGAUGCAGCAACGCCGCGUGCGGGAUGACGGCCUUCGGGUUGUAAACCGCUUUCGCCUGUGACGAAGCGUGAGUGACGGUAAUGGGUAAAGAAGCACCGGCUAACUACGUGCCAGCAGCCGCAGUAA